AUGCCCCUCUGCAGUUCUGCCACAACUGAAUCCAAAUUCUUAUCUACAGCAUGGAAACUUAAACUGCUGGAUCAACUCUGGCUGGUCAGGACUCCACUAUACCAGCAGACUGGCAGAUUUCCAACAGAAAGAUACUCCCCACCUUGGAGAACUUGUGAUCUGAAAGUCAGGCAAGAAGCUCUGAACAGAGACACAGGGAAAUUCUGUUUGAAAAAAAACUAUUUUGCCCUUUCAUAUGGAUUCUCACACUCUUUGCAUGCAUCUUGCCUGUGGAAGCAAAGUGGACUGAAGCAGCACUUCCCCCUCUGGCUUCUUGGUCCUGCCCUGCAGCAGCUCCUAGUUAUGACUGAGCAGGGCUUUUAUCAUCCAGGAGUCCAUCGCCCCUAA
rnacentral:lncRNA from 1 species